rnacentral:rRNA from 1 species
GACAGAGGAGCCAAGCGUUGUCCGGACUGACUGGGCGUAAAGCGCACGCAGGCGGUGCGGUAAGUGGGGUGUGAAAGCGGUCGGCUCAACCGACCGAGGCCAUCUCAGACUGCCGUACUCGAGCGCUGCAGAGGGUGGUGGAAUUGCCGGUGUAGUGGUGAAAUGCGUAGAGCUCGGGAAGAACAUCGGUGGCGAAAGCGCUCUGCUGGACUGCAACUGACACUCAGGGACGAAAGCUAGGGGAGCGAAUGGG